UACGGGGGGAGCAAGCGUUGCUCGGAAUUACUGGGCGUAAAGCGCACGUAGGCUGAUUCGUAAGUCAGGGGUGAAAUCCCGGGGCUCAACCUCGGAACUGCCUUUGAUACUGCGGAUCUCGAGUCCGAUAGAGGUGGGUGGAAUUCCUAGUGUAGAGGUGAAAUUCGUAGAUAUUAGGAAGAACACCGGUGGCGAAGGCGGCCCACUGGAUCGGUACUGACGCUGAGGUGCGAAAGCGUGGGGAGCAAACAGG
rnacentral:rRNA from 1 species